CAUUCAGUGUGUAGUACUCCUAAGCAAUUUGAAUUAAGAUUUAAAAUUUGCUUUUCUCCUGAGAAGAGAGAAUAUAAUCGGGACUAAUUUUAAUGAUAAGUUUCCUGGAGUUUAAUGGAAACAAUGAAGGCCAUUGUCUGUUUAUUUUGGGGGCAGUUGUUUUGUUUUGUUUCUGUUUUUGUCGUCGUUGUUGUUGUUCUUGCCUGUUAGAGUCAGUUUGGAGUAGCUCAGAAAUCUGUUUUGAAGUGGGAGAGCCCAUCAUAAAGGGAGCCAUAAUUAACAGCUUUCGUUCCCAUUCCCGCCUUGGUUGAGAUUCCUUAAGGUGUGGAAGCCGCUAUGGCAGUGAUUCCCACUGGCCUGAGGCAUGUGUGUCCACGUGUGUUUCUGGAACAGGAAAGGGCUCUUUCUCAGCCUUUCUCCUGAGUGUCUUUAGGCAUCUCGACGUUAUCCAAUAGCCCGCAUCCACUCUUCUGUGGAACUUGUACUAGGUGAGAAAAUGCAAAUGAAAGGCAGAAAGUGUUGUAAAAAUGACUUGCAGUGACAAGUUGUAAGAGUCUCCAAACACACUGAAGUUUGGUUUGUACAUUUGAUCUUAUUUGAAGACAGGGUUGAGCUUUGUCAUCCAUGCUGGCUUCAAAUGCACAGGGACGCUCCUGCCCUGCCUUCACAGCACUGGAAGGAAGGACUGUGGGACAGCUUACCCAGGGGCUGGUACUCUUUCAGAGGGUGAACAGCACUUCUCUCUGGAGAGCAUCACUCUUUCUACAGAGUAUGGGAAGGGGAGGGAGUCUGUGUUCCUUCCUCAGAGUCUAGGAGAAUGUCCCACACAGCAUGCCCAUGUGUGUCAUGGUGAUAUUAUAACUUGGUUCUAAACAGACAUUUGUGUAAGGUCUCAUUGGGAAUGAAGAGAGUGUGUUUGGGAUCCAUACCAGGAACCAGUGGAGGCAAACCUGCGCCUCUUAGGAGAGGGUCAGUAUUGUGAUAGAGUGUCUCUCGCUGUAGCACGGGCUGUGGGGUAUUUCCUAUGUAUUCCAAGUUAUCCUCAGAUUCCACAAAAUUCUCCUGCCUCAGUCUCCUCAGAACUGGAAUUACAGAUGGGUACCUCCACACGUGGAUUUAGAAUUUGUUCUUUUCUUUUUUUAAAUUUUAAAUACUUUAUUUAAUAUUCCUACAGACAAAUAAUGUGUUUUGAAAAAAAACCCGUCCUUUCAGAUUCUGAGAGCUCAGGAGUGGGGCUUUCAGGCCAUUCCUGUAGGAUAGCAUUCAACAACAUAAACAAAUGAGAUUUAGAGAGAAAGUCACUCUGAAAUGGAAUGAAACCAGAAGCAGUGUGUUUAAAUUUUAGGAUAGAAACACUGAGGUGGCAAGGAUUCUCCAUUUUAGCCAGCUGGGAUGGUGCACGCCUUUGAUCCCAGCACUUGGGUGGCAGAGGCAGGAGAAUCUCUGUGAGUUCCAGGCCAGACUAGUCUACAGAGUGAGUUCUAGGACAGCCAGGGCUACACAGAGAAGCCCUGUAUAGAAAAAAAAUAUUUUCUACUUCAAAAUUUCAUUUGCUGACUUGCCUAACUUCAUGUCUUGUAUAUACUUGUUAAGCCGUGAGCUACUUCUGAAGUCAGUCACCACAAACCACCUAGAAAUGAUGCUACCUAUCACCUGUGCUGGUUUUUAAAUUUUUCCUGUUGAGUCCAUUAACUCCUGAUAGAUGCUGUAUAUUAGUCUUGGUGUUUUCUAUACUAUCUGUGGGUUUAGGACAUAAGAUGUACAGGCUGGCAAGUGGACUAUGCUGGGAGCAAAACUUUUGAUCAGAGCGUAUUGAAGCCUUAAAAACAGAAAAGUAAGAAAGAAGAUGUUAGAAUAGCAUUUUUAUUUGGCAGUUAAAAACCAUUCUGUGACUUACCAGACAAUAUUUACUAUCCUAAGGACUAAUGGAAGUUUAAAGUGUUCUGCAUAUGUGAAAACCUUUGACAUGUACAAAGUGUUUUGUGUAAUGUAUUUUAAAGCUGUAGUCUUUAAUUACUAUUUUGGGAGAAUUAUUUAAACCAUAUUUGAGAGAGAACAGAAGAGUAAGUAAAUAGGAUCAUUGUUGGCAAAAGAUACUCUUCUUCAUAUGCCAAAAAUCUAACAAAGAGACAGCUCUACAAACAACAGCUUGUUGAAUAAUAACAUUCCAUGAUUCUGAAACACUCCAGAGUAAUUUAUCUUAUCAAGUUCACGGUCAAUUUUGGACAGCUGAACUUUUUACUGAGACUACAUUUUUUUUCUUCUUUAAAUAAAUUCUGAUUAUUUACUAUGUGUAGGGUUAGGCCUAAUGUCUGAAAUACCUGUUUAUCUGCGACUCAGAUUUGUUCCUAAUGUAAAGUAAUUUUCCAUCUUUCUAUGGCUUCACAUGGUGGGUGCUGGAAUGGGCUCGGGGAAGUCUACAGAGGCCCUAGGGAGGACUCCUGGGGCAGAUUCCUGGAGAUGACACCUUGGGAGGGCUUACUGAAGUGAGCCACACCUCCUGUGCUUGUUGGUUCUUGUUUAGUGAAAAGCUACAAAAU
rnacentral:lncRNA from 1 species